AAUUGAGUGCCUAAAGAAAACACUAUAUGGUCACCCUUUAAUUUGUAAUGAGUUCUGACUUGCUUUGACACAAGCUAUGUGAACUGCCAUGUGUGCUGCCAGUUGACGGUAAAAAGGAAAUUCUUAUGCUGGAGCAUGUUAUGUGUCUGUGCAGACCUGAAGCAUGGUCCAAAAUGUGAAAAACAGAAUAAAAUCCUGCUUGACUGAACAGAAAUCACAGGAGCGUGUGGUAGAGGAUAAUGCUGGACAGCCACUGAGGGAGAAGAUAGUGAUUUUAUGUUCUAAUAUGGAAAAAUACAUUACUCUCUUACUUGCUUGGAAAUGAACGAAAACAAAAGCAUCUCACAGGUAGCUCAAGACAAGAAAUAAGAGGAGGGAGGAUUCCUGAGAGAGAAAAACACAACCCUGGAGUAAGAAGAACUGAGAGGAAACUUACCACUGAUUAACUGACUUCAAGUCAGAUAUGGAUUUAUUUCUUUUGCAGUUUAUUUUGUAAAUUCAAAAACCCUGAAAGAGUGUAAACUUUGAUUUGAUAUAAGGAUAUUUAAACCAGACAGUGAUGUUACUUUAUCAUAAUUCACACUUAUGACCUUGUGUUAAAUUGCUUUGGUCUUACUUAGGAAACAAUUAAUGUCAUUGUACAUUUUGCCUUACAUAAUAAGAGUUUUGUCUAAGUACCAUAAUGACAUUUCUGGUCUGAAGUUGCUUUUCUUUUAAGCCAGAAUCCAUCAGAUCAUACUAGCAUAAGGUCAGGUUGAGGAACAACAGUAGCUUUACUUCUGUAUAAUUUUACAUCUAUAAUAGCCCCCAGAUUGACUCACUACCAUGUUGGUGUUACCGAAUUAACAAAUAAAGUCUUAAACUUUUAAUUAAAUCUGUUUUGGAAGACCCAUGGGUUUGUACAAAGUUGCAGUGGAGCUGGAGAAGUUAUUCUUGUCUUUUUAGGUGUAAAUUAAAGUGUAGCUCUU
rnacentral:lncRNA from 7 species